GUCGUCGCCUUGAUCUCGAUGAGAGUGCUCUGAUUGCUAUCAGUCUCUGUGCAUUGUGAACCUGAGUUAAGUAUAAGAUUGCAAUAGUGUGCCCUCAAUUUUAAUUUGAAAAUUCACUUACUCAUACUGUCAAGUAAAUUCACACCCAAUGAAACCAUAGCCCCCAACGAGGGAGGAAACAUCACAACUACAACGUAUUUGUUGUAUCCAUAAACCUAAUUAUCUUUUUGUAUUUGUCUUUAAGCCCAACUUACAAAAUACAAUAAGAAAAACAUAUGUAUUUGUACACCCACACGGUUAAAACCCCAAAACACCACACGGUUAAAACCCCAAAACACCCCUCUCUCUCUCUCUCACCCCCCACUUAACCAGUUUUCUCUUUCACUCUCUUUCCUGUUCUUCCCCAUUUUUAAAAAAGUAUAAUAUUGAUAUGAUACUAACAUUGGCUUAAUUUUUUUUUGGUUGCAAAAAAGCACACACCAUGGAUGUGGUUAGAAUUCCAUCAAAUAUUGGUUACUUCCGGGACCUCCUCCAAAAUCGUAUUUCUUCUACAUUGUUAGAGGAUCAUCGGACAUCUCUUCGAGAUACACCUUUCGAUGGGUAUUUGAAUGUUCCUAAUAUUCCAAUUCAACCUGUUCUAGUGGAUUGCUUGCUGGAAGUCUUUGAUGUUAAAAAAAAUAGCUUCAAAAUUGGAGGAAAAUGGACAUCUUUUAGUGUUCAAGAUGUUGCGAGAAUUACGGGUCUUCCGAUAGGAGGAUCUAUUGUAGAUACGAGGUUCCAUAGAAGCGAUCGCGAGACAAUCUACAAGCUCGUGCUAUCAUUUAGGUCGAAGGCAGAAAUUGUGGAGGAUAGGAAGUGUAGGACUAGGAGAGGAAAGAAGAAAAGUAACGAGGAAAAGAAGAAGAUUGUGUGUGUGCUAGAAGGGGUAGGAUGGGUGAACUUAUUGAGGAGAUGACUGACCGUAGAGAUCCUCUUGUGCCACAGAUGCUCGUGGUUUUCAUCAUAGGCUUUAUAUUAUGUCCUCAAGCUAAUAUGAGUUGCCCUUUGUUUGCAUUUAGAUAUGCUGAGAAAUUGGACACUCUUCAUGAGUAUAAUUAGACAGAAGCAGUGUUUAAUGUGUUAAGGACUGAGAUGGUUAAUGCUAAAAAGACCAUUACCAAGAGGUCUGAGGGAAAUCGAUGUAGAGGUGGUUAUAUGGGGGGCUUUGCAUCGGUUUUGGUGAUAUGGUUUUAUGAGCUUGUGGGAAAGUUAAGCCUUCGCGUAGGAGCUGAAUCCCUACCACCCAUUCUAAGCUUCUAUAAGUGUCCAAAACCUUUACGGAGGAAUGCGUUGUAGAAUUUAGUUAGAGACUCGGAUAAUUUUAGCCAAUAUCAUAAGGGCUCGAGGUCUCUAAAAUUUCAAAAGAGGAUUGCUGUAGCUGCCAUUUUCACUAAAGAAACUGCUUCUUCAAAAUUCAAGGGAAAGGUAAUCACUGAAGCUGAUUUGGAUCGGCUUAUCCAUGAAAAAAAGUUGAAUUAAACAUUCUCUUGAAGAUGAAGAGGGAAAUAUUCGGUGGAAGGCAAGAGGAUGUCGAUAGUGAUAGCGGAGAUGAGGAUGACGGGGAUGAUGAAGAUGAUAGUGAUGGCGGCGAUGAGGAUGGCAGGAAUGAGGAGGAUGAUAGAGAUGUAGGCGAAGGUGAAGGUGAAAGUGAUGAUGGAGUAGGAGAUGAGGGGGAUGGUGGUGAUGUGGAUGAGGAUGAUGGAGAUGUAGAUAGAAUGAAUGUAGAUA